GGAGCGCGCCAGACCGCCGCUGGCACGAGACCCGAAAGGGUGUGCUGGAGGAACGUCCGGACUGCACAGGACAGCGUAGGAGGUAACACCUCUCCACCGACAAGUCGCAAGACCCUAAGGUGAGGAUCAGAGCAACAGAGACGAGUCCGGUGGGAGUGCCGCAAGGCAGACCAGCCGGGGUGAAACGGGCAAUCUCUACGCGCAGCAAUACCAAAUAGGCCAGCGUUGAUGUGGUUCCGCGGAGCUGGCGGGUAGGUAGCACCGAGCCGGGUGGGCGACCCCCGGCCCAGAGGAAUGGCGGUCACAUCCGGGGCAACCCGGAUGCACAGAAUCCGGCUUAUCGGCGCGCUUCACAC
rfam:Hydrogenophaga sp. H7 H7_scaffold1, whole genome shotgun sequence.